AUAAAAAACGGGGGGGGUUUUGGGGCGUGGUGGGCGGGGUCCUGGGAGCGGUCCUCCUGGCCGGCAUCAUCUUCAUCGUUAUGAAACACAAAACUGUCAAGAGGAAGGAGAGACUAGAAAUUAAGAGUGUACCACGAGAGGAAGAGAUGACUCCCAGACAGAAUAUAUUUGACUACGACGAAUGGGGCGCCAGACGGCUGGGUCAGCCACCAGUGGCCCAGAUCACUGUUAACGUUAAGUAGCCAGGA